UUCGUAUUGUUGUGAGAGAGGUGAAAUUCUUAGACCACAGCAAGACGAACUACUGCGAAAGCAUUUGCCAAGAAUGUUUUCAUUGAUCAAGAACGAAAGUUAGAGGUUCGAAGGCGAUCAGAUACCGCCCUAGUUCUAACCAUAAACUAUGCCAACUAGCAAUUUGCUUAUGUAUGUUUUAUGACUAAGUGAGAGGCCACGGGAAACCAAAGUAGGGUUAUGGGGGAAGUAUGGUUGCAAAGCUGAAACUUAAAGGAAUUGACGGAAGGGCACCACCAGGAGUGGAGCCUGCGGCUUAAUUUGACUCAACACGGGAAAACUUACCUGGUCCUGACACUAGAAGGAUUGACAGAUUGAUAGCUCUUUCUUGAUUUGGUGGAUGGUGGUGCAUGGCCGUUCUUAGUUGGUGGAGUGAUUUGUCUGGUUAAUUCCGAUAACGAACGAGACUCUAGCCUAUUAAAUAACACGCGGAAUCUUGUCUUCCGUGACGUUCCUUAAUGGGAUCAAGUGUGUUUAACACUU
rnacentral:rRNA from 2 species